GGGUGGGUAGCUCAGUGGUAGAGCAUCUGGCUUUUAACCAGUUGGCCGCGAGUUCGAUCCUCGCCCCACCCACCA
rnacentral:tRNA from 2 species